UCCAGACUCCUACGGGAGGCAGCAGUGGGGAAUAUUGCACAAUGGGGGAAACCCUGAUGCAGCAACGCCGCGUGAGUGAAGAAGCGUUUCGGCGCGUAAAGCUCUGUCAGCGGGGAAGAAAGAAGACGGUACCCGACCAAGAAGCCACGGCUAACUACGUGCCAGCAGCCGCGGUAAUACGUAGGUGGCAAGCGUUGUCCGGAUUUACUGGGUGUAAAGGGCGUGCAGCCGGAGAGACCAGUCAGAUGUGAAAUCCACGGGCUCAACCCGUGAACUGCAUUUGAAACUGUUUCCCUUGAGUGUCGGAGAGGUAAUCGGAAUUCCUUGUGUAGCGGUGAAAUGCGUAGAUAUAAGGAAGAACACCAGUGGCGAAGGCGGAUUACUGGACGAUAACUGGCGGUGAGGCGCGAAAGCGUGGGGAGCAAACAGGAUUAGAUACCCCCGUAAUC
rnacentral:rRNA from 1 species